GAUGAACGCUGGCGGCGUGCCUAAUACAUGCAAGUCGAGCGAACAGACGAGGAGCUUGCUCCUCUGACGUUAGCGGCGGACGGGUGAGUAACACGUGGAUAACCUACCUAUAAGACUGGGAUAACUUCGGGAAACCGGAGCUAAUACCGGAUAAGAUAUUGAACCGCAUGGUUCGAUAGUGAAAGACGGUUUUGCUGUCACUUAUCGAUGGAUCCGCGCCGCAUUAGCUAGUUGGUGAGGUAAAGGCCUACCAAGGCAACGAUGCGUAGGCGACCUGAGAGAGGGAUCGCCCACAUUGGAACUGAGACACGGUCCAGACUCCUACGGGAGGCAGCAGUAGGGAAUCUUCCGCAAUGGGCGAAAGCCUGACGGAGCAACGCCGCGUGAGUGAUGAAGGUCUUCGGAUCGUAAAACUCUGUUACGAGUGAAGAACAAAUGUGUAAGUAACUAUGCACGUCUUGACGGUACCUAAUCAGAAAGCCACGGCUAACUACGUG
rnacentral:rRNA from 1 species